GGUCAAAGACCAGUCCCUCUAUGUCCGACUUGAACACUGAGAUCCACUCAGAGACCAGAGUGCUCGGGCUGCCUUCUGAAAGGCUGAUACCUCCGCAGCCACCCUGAGACUCGGGAGAGACUCGGAGCUACCUAGGCCCGCGGUCUGAUCCUCUUGGAGCUGUGAGCCUUGAAAAGGGAGGACAGCUCUUCGAUGAAGUCGGCGGCCUUGUUUAGGAAGACUUUCUUGGACUGGCUUUCAGAACUGUACUGUGGCCUCUUUGUCUCCGGGGAACUGUCCUUUGAGAUGCCAGGACCUCGAGGGCUGUCCUGGCAGAAGGUGACCCAGAUGACGAUGUCCAACCCAGGCUCGCUUCUUCCGAGAUGACAAUUAUCCAAGGAGAAGUUUUGGGUGAAAACACGGGAGAAAGGGGAGAUUCUUCACGCCCUUGGAAAGAGAGAGCAGCCGUCCAUAGAGCACUCCCGAGUUAACCUUAGUGUUGGUGAAGAUGGCUGUUAGAAGCUGGGCAACCUGUCACCACCGCGGCCAAGAGCAUUUGUCAGCUCACGGGUCCCAAGUUAUUUUGAGCCGUAUAAACCAUGUGCCUGUGAAACAUUCCACCUGAUUGGACAGGAGAAAACUGAGCAAAGGGAUUCCAUUGCGGGACAGCACCUACGGGAGCCCGGGUCAGUGGUAUUUUUCUACCUACAGAAUUUCAUUUACAGCUGGAAG